GGCUCAGGACGAACGCUGGCGGCGUGCUUAACACAUGCAAGUCUACGACGCUUUUGUAGCAAUAUGAAAGUGGAGUGGCGCACGGGUGAGUAACACGUAUGUAAUCUGCCUUUUGUUCGGGGAUAACACUUCCAACGAGGUGCUAAUACCCGAUGAUGCAGCGGCACCGCAUGGUGACAGUUGUUAAAGCUUCGGCGACGAAAGAUGAACAUGCGUCUGAUUAGCUAGUUGGUGGGGUAACGGCCCACCAAGGCAACGAUCAGUAGCUGGUCUGAGAGGAUGAUCAGCCACACUGGGACUGAGACACGGCCCAGACUCCUACGGGAGGCAGCAGUGAGGAAUAUUGCGCAAUGGACGAAAGUCUGACGCAGCAACGCCGCGUGCGGGAUGAAGGCCUUUCAGGUCGUAAACCGCUGUAGCAGGGGACAAAUUUCCCGUUCGACGGGAUUGAUGGUACCCUGAAAGUAAGCCUCGGCUAACUACGUGCCAGCAGCCGCGGUAAUACGUAGGAGGCAAGCGUUGUCCGGAUUUACUGGGUGUAAAGGGUCCGCAGGCGGGUGUGUAAGUCGGUGGUGAAAUCCUACAGCUUAACUGUAGAACCGCCUCCGAGACUGCAUAUCUUGAAUAUAGGAGAGGGCAAUGGAAUUCCAGGUGUAGCGGUGAAAUGCUUGGAUAUCUGGAAGAACACCGGUUGCGAAGGCUGUUGCCUGGCCUAGUAUUGACGCUCAGGGACGAAAGCGUGGGGAUCAAACAGGAUUAGAUACCCUGGUUGUCCACGCUGUAAACGAUGGAUACUCGGUGUCGGUCCCGCAGAGCACUCGCGAGUCGAGUGCCCCGCGGGAUCGGUGCCUAAGCUAACGCAGUAAGUAUCCCACCUGGGAAGU
rnacentral:rRNA from 1 species